UCCAAAUCAGCACGGAGAGCCGAGAAGUUAUUACCUCCAAUUAGGGCUAGGGUUCUCAAUUUCAAUUCCAAGGAAAUCGAACUAGGUUUUUAGAUUCUCCCUUCACGGUGAUCAGACGACGACGUGGGUAAUGGGAAGGCACAGAAGCCGUAGCAGGAGUUACAGCCCCGUGCGACGUAAACGCUACGACGAACCACGUGACCGUCGCCACGACCGUCGCUCUCCCGCACCUUCUGGCCUUCUUGUUCGUAACAUCUCCCUUAGCGCCAGGGACUAGCUUCAUGAAUGUUCUCCAAGGAAAUUGGAUCAAUUGGCACAUGAACAUUGCCAGAAGAUGUCAGGGUCCCCUUUGAACGUUUUGGUCCUGUAAAAGAUGUCUAUCUGCCCAAGAAUUACUAUACUGGGGAACCACGAGGAUUUGGCUUUGUGAAGUUCCGUUAUGCCGAAGAUGCAGCUGAAGCAAAAGCACACUUAAACUGUACAGUUAUUGGUGGACGUGAAAUUAGUAUUGUUUUUGCGGAGGAGAAUCGAAAGACCCCUCAAGAAAUGAAUAGGGUUUUACGCACAAGGUGCUACAUAUAUGUGGUUUGCUUCGAGUUGCAAUCAUGUUGAUUAUCAAUCUCUUUUCCAGCUCAAGUAUUAUUCACCCACAGUGAAUCUAAGUCUACUACUUUUCCUGUUUAACUAGUGGACCUAGUGCUCGAGGCAGCUACAGGAGACACAGUCCACAAAGGUUCCCAAGUCGCAGAUAUCACUGUCAGUUUGAAUUUUAACUCUCUUACUAAAAGUGUAACUGUUUAGUUUCUCAAUGACUCAUUUAGCUUCUGAUGCUGAUUUAUAUGAUAUUGCAUUGAGGCCCCCACCCCUCCAAAAUUAAAAAGGAAAAAGAGAAGAAGUAAACUUAGUACUGUUAGAGUCGAGAGCAUUGUCUUCCUUUAAGAGUAAUGGUCUAGAAUUUUCUAUGGCAGCUUACUCGCGCUCGGCUUCCCCAGCACGACGUGACUCAAGGUUUGUAUUUCAUAACAGAAGUUUUGCUUGUAUUCUCCUAUUGUUUGUUUGUCUUUGAGCAAGGGCUGCUACUGAUUCUAAUGGGACAAAAUCUAGUAAGAACAUCUAUUGGGAUAAAACAAAUCUGUAGCCUGUAGUCAUAGUAGCAGCAAUUUCAUUGCCUAACAUGCACAAUUCAACUAUCAAGACAAAAUUGGUCAUUUUCCCUAUAUUUAGAGAUAAAUGUUGCUCAAAAGAGAGACUUUGCUCGUUGAUCUGUUUGAUUCCUUUUCAGCAUUAUGGUGCAUGUCCUUCGUCAAUGAGCUCUUUGUAAAAUUGCAGUUUUUUGCCUUGAAUCAUCAAGGCGCUUUGUAUUGUUGCUUUAUCUAUUUUUCUUGCCUAUUUUUUGUUUGUUAUCACCUUUAUUGGCUCAAAACACUCCUUGGUUGGUAUCUGAUUGUUUUAUGUUUGCUUUUUUCUCCUUGGAGGUUAGGAACUUAGGAUAGUGAUGUGGCAUAUUUAUAUCUGCCAAAGUGGUGGUUGCCUCACACUAUCCACCUGAUUUUAGGAAUUAUUUUUUUCUCUAUUUAAUUUAUCUGUUAUCUCUUGUCCUGGAAUACUGAGGCUUUCUCCGUCCCUUGAGUUGUGGUGGCUUAUUAGGUUCUUUAGCUUUCUAAUUUUGUUGAAUACUUAUUUGGGACACACGAUUAUAGAUUAUGUCAAAUGUCUUGCAGGCAUAUGUCAUCUAUCCUGUAGAUUAUUGAAUGACAUCUGCUGGUGGCUUUAUUAAUGCAGAUGCUAAAUUGAGAAAGAGACUUAAAGAAUUCUGGCCUAAUAUAGACAAUUGAGAAAAGGGACCAUAAAGUCAAAGAUUACUUGCUCAUGAAAUGUGAUGAAUCUCCGGAAGUUUCAAAUCACCAUCAUCAAAGUUCAUGUGAUUUUCCUUUUCUGGAUUUUUUUCUAGUAAGGAUGAGCCUUCUAUUGUACCUCGGAGAACCAAUUGAAGUGGUGUGGACAUAUUUCUGUCACAAAGACCUUCAUUUGCUUAUCUUUAAAUUCAUGUUUUAUUUCUUAAUGUUGCACAAUAUCCAGUUAGAGAGAAAAUUUAGAGCUUACAGUUGGCCAAAGAAAGAAUUCACCUUCAAAGGGGCAAAUAUUUUUGAAGUUUUUACUGAUUGGCAUUUCAUGAGAAUGCCCAAGGAAAGCUAUCUCAAGAUUUGGGGCAAAGAAGAACUUUGAAGUGAUCAGAUGCUGAAGAACCGUACCAUAUAGUGCUUAAACAGUCUGGAUCAAACUGUAGUUUUUUCCAGACUAUGAAAUAAGGAUACAGGUAAAGGUUGUGGUUCAGUAGAUUAGAUAUUGAAGGAAUCUACCUUUCAUGGUUUGUUUUAGUAUCAGCCUUAUUUUUGAGUAGUGUGGCAUUGUGAGUUGGAAUAAGCAGUCAUUUGAAAACCAGUGCUAGUCUUUUUACUUGUUUGUACUGUUUUCAACUUCAUGGGUUGCUGCAAAAACUACAUUGAACUUAUCAUUAAGCGGCUUAAGUGCACUAUGGUUCACAGGGACAGGGAUCGUGAGAAUCGGGAUGAUUACUAUUCUCCAAGGAGAUGCAGGUCAAAAUCUCCGUCUGUUUCUCCAAGGGAUGAAAGAAAUUAUAGGUUGAAUGGAAGAUCUUCUAGACAAUCCCGGCAAAUGUCCAGGUCAAAUACUCCACGCAUUCAGAAAAAAGGUAGGCCCAGCCCGAGUCCAAGAGAUAAUAGACUGAUUGUUCAUGAUUUGGACUCUGCCCGAAGGA